UCAGUCCCAAUUCCUCCUCCUCUUGCUUUUGGGCCUGUUGAUUUUAACAUCACAUUGAUGGACCAGACCUUUGGAGGUCUUCAGUUCAAAGUUGACAUCUCAAGAGCAGCAAUGCAGCAGCACAAACAGAUGAAGAGGAUGGUACAGGGCUGGAGGUCUCUCCUGGAUGGAUGGAGGAAUCAAGGCCAAGUUUCUGAUCAUUUGCACUUGGAAUAAUUAGGAAUCGGACCAACCUGCUGCAUCAAUACAAAGCCUGGAGAUGCUUGGAAAUAAAAUAUGAACAACUGGAGGAUAAAUAAAGAUUGUUGAAAAAUAUUACAUAUCAAAGAACGGGAUAAGUAGCAAGUGUGAAAACAUCUGAGAUUUAAUUUGUAACUAUUACAUAUGUUCCUUAAAUAUUAGAAUCAUUGUUUGAAAUAUUAGUGAGGUCCUGUCAGCUAACAACUAAAUUUAAUGAUCUAAAUAUUUGGGUUAAGUUAAAUGGGUAAAAAAAUCAUUAUUCUGUUCUUUGACUUGCAUGCAACUAUUAGAUAAACAGAACUUGCACUGAAGUUUAGUUGUUGUCAAAAGGUACACGCUAAUACAUAACAGCAUUCAGACAUAUGCCUAGUUUAAUAAAACAUUUCACCGAUUCUUAAAAACUUAAUUGCUGAAUUUGUUAAGCUUUAUCUUUAUAAGUGUUAACAUGACAGUAAUGAGAAAAUGGCUUUAUUAUGACCUUUAGUACCACUUGCGUAAUUUACUGCAUUAUUUCCUUAAUUAAAACAUUAAUAGACCAGAUAGAACAAAUAAAUCUGUCUUGAUAACACAACUCAAUGCAAUCAACAGUUCACUGUUGCUAUGUGUUCUGGAGGGAAAGUCAGGGUUUCUACCAACUGGAAUGAUAAACUGAACUUUACUGGAUUGUUUAAUGACUAGGAUUGAAUUGGAUUGCUGGUAGUUGACUACAUGAUUGGUUAAUAUUCACUGCAUAUUUCUAGAUAAAAUGUUUUGUAAUUGUUAUGAAUCAGAGUUUAGAAAUAAACUGAAUUAAAUAA